rnacentral:rRNA from 1 species
AUUGGGACUGAGACACGGCCCAGACUCCUACGGGAGGCAGCAGUGGGGAAUAUUGCACAAUGGGGGAAACCCUGAUGCAGCGACGCCGCGUGGAGGAAGAAGGUCUUCGGAUUGUAAACUCCUGUUGUUGGGGAAGAUAAUGACGGUACCCAACAAGGAAGUGACGGCUAACUACGUGCCAGCAGCCGCGGUAAAACGUAGGUCACAAGCGUUGUCCGGAAUUACUGGGUGUAAAGGGAGCGCAGGCGGGAAGACAAGUUGGAAGUGAAAUCUAUGGGCUCAACCCAUAAACUGCUUUCAAAACUGUUUUUCUUGAGUAGUGCAGAGGUAGGCGGAAUUCCCGGUGUAGCGGUGGAAUGCGUAGAUAUCGGGAGGAACACCAGUGGCGAAGGCGGCCUACUGGGCACCAACUGACGCUGAGGCUCGAAAGUGUGGGUAGCAAACAGGAUUAGAUACCCUGGUAGUCCACACCGUAAACGAUGAUUACUAGGUGUUGGAGGAUUGACCCCUUCAGUGCCGCAGUUAACACAAUAAGUAAUCCACCUGGGGAGUACGACCGCAAGGUUGAAACUCAAAGGAAUUGACGGGGGCCCGCACAAGCAGUGGAGUAUGUGGUUUAAUUCGACGCAACGCGAAGAACCUUACCAAGUCUUGACAUCCCUUGACAGGCAUAGAAAUAUGUUUUCUCUUCGGAGCAAGGAGACAGGUGGUGCAUGGUUGUCGUCAGCUCGUGUCGUGAGAUGUUGGGUUAAGU